CCCAGACAGCCAGGAUGUUGGCUUAGAAGCAGCCAUCAUUUAAAGAAAGCGUAAUAGCUCACUGGUCGAGUCGGCCUGCGCGGAAGAUGUAACGGGGCUAAACCAUGCACCGAAGCUGCGGCAGCGAACGUAUCACUUAAAGCGAUUCAGCGGAUGACGAUUGACGGAGCGAAGCGACGUCAAAGCGUUUUACAACGUCGAGUCGGUUUAAGGAUACGUUCGUUGGGUAGGGGAGCGUUCUGUAAGCCUGCGAAGGUGGCCUGUGAGGGUUGCUGGAGGUAUCAGAAGUGCGAAUGCUGACAUAAGUAACGAUAAUGCGGGUGAAAAACCCGCACGCCGGAAGACC
rnacentral:rRNA from 1 species